UACGAAGGGUACAAACGUUGCUCGGAAUUAUUGGGCGUAAAGCGCACGUAGGCGGCUAUCUAAGUCGGAUGUGAAAUCCCCGGGCUUAACCUGGGAAUGGCAUUUGGGACUGCAAGGCUCGAGUGCGGCAGAGGAGACUGGAAUUCCUGGUGUAGCAGUGAAAUGCGUAGAUAUCAGGAGGAACACCGAUGGCGAAGGCAGGUCUCUGGGCUGACACUGACGCUCAUGCACGAAAGCGUGGGGAGCAAACAGG
rnacentral:rRNA from 1 species